AUUGAACGCUGGCGGCAGGCCUAACACAUGCAAGUCGAGCGGAUGAAGGGAGCUUGCUCCUGGAUUCAGCGGCGGACGGGUGAGUAAUGCCUAGGAAUCUGCCUGGCAGUGGGGGAUAACGUCCGGAAACGGGCGCUAAUACCGCAUACGUCCUGAGGGAGAAAGAGGGGGAUCUUCGGACCUCACGCUAUCAGAUGAGCCUAGGUCGGAUUAGCUAGUUGGUGGGGUAAAGGCCUACCAAGGCGACGAUCCGUAACUGGUCUGAGAGGAGGAUCAGUCACACUGGAACUGAGACACGGUCCAGACUCCUACGGGAGGCAGCAGUGGGGAAUAUUGGACAAUGGGCGAAAGCCUGAUCCAGCCAUGCCGCGUGUGUGAAGAAGGUCUUCGGAUUGUAAAGCACUUUAAGUUGGGAGGAAGGGCAGUAAGUUAAUACCUUGCUGUUUUGACGUUACCAACAGAAUAAGCACCGGCUAACUUCGUG
rnacentral:rRNA from 1 species